GGAUAUUUUACUUACCUGGACAUAUUUUGGGAUAGAGGGACUGGUAGUUCAACAAGGGAAAUCUGAUUUUUGGACGUGUUAAAUAAUACCAUGUCACAUCAGGUACCAGCACUAACUAGAAAGCAUCCUUGUCUGGAUCUUUUGACCGACAUUCAAGUAGGGGAGUGUCAUGCCAAAAGCAUGAGUUGGUGUUUGAUGUGUGUUUAUAUAUG